rnacentral:rRNA from 1 species
UACGAAGGGGGCUAGCGUUGCUCGGAAUGACUGGGCGUAAAGGGCGCGUAGGCGGAUGGCACAGUCAGAUGUGAAAUUCCCGGGCUUAACCUGGGGGCUGCAUUUGAUACGUGUUGGCUUGAGUUCGGAAGAGGGUUGUGGAAUUCCCAGUGUGGAGGUGAAAUUCGUAGAUAUUGGGAAGAACACCGGUGGCGAAGGCGGCGGCCUGGUCCGACACUGACGCUGAGGCGCGAAAGCCUGGGGAGCAAACAGG